UACGGAGUGUGCAAGCGUUACUCGGAAUCACUGGGCAUAAAGGGCGUGUAGGCGGGCUUUCAAGUCGGUUGUGAAAUCCCUCAGCUCAACUGAGGAACUGCAUCCGAUACUGUUUGUCUUGAGGACGAGAGGGGAGAGUGGAACUUCUGGUGGAGCGGUGAAAUGCGUAGAUAUCAGAAGGAACGCCGGUGGCGAAAGCGACGUGCUGGACCUUUUCUGACGCUGAGGCGCGAAAGCUAGGGGAGCAAACGGG
rnacentral:rRNA from 1 species